UGCAUCCUUCUCAUAUUGCUGACUAGACUCAAGUUUUCAUUGGUAAUUCUAGUGAGGCAAAGGAAGUGUCCUUUUAAAAUUGAAGCAAACUGGGGUUUGACUUAUGUGCUGUCAAAAGAAACAAUG
ensembl:snoRNA